rnacentral:rRNA from 1 species
CCUACGGGUGGCAGCAGUGAGGAAUAUUGGACAAUGGGCGAGAGCCUGAACCAGCCAAGUCGCGUGAGGGAGUACUGCCCUAUGGGUUGUAAACCUCUUUUGUCGGGGAGCAAAAGCCGGACGUGUCCGGCUGUGAGAGUACCCGAAGAAAAAGCAUCGGCAAACUCCGUGCCAGCAGCCGCGGUAAUACGGGGGAUGCGAGCGUUAUCCGGAUUUAUUGGGUUAAAAGGGUGCGCAGGCGGAUUUUUAAGUCAGCGGUAAAAUCGUGGGGCUCAACCCCAUCCAGCCGUUGAAACUGGGGAUCUAGAGUGUGCGAGAGGUAUGCGGAAUGCGUGGUGUAGCGGUGAAAUGCAUAGAUAUCACGCAGAACCCCGAUUGCGAAGGCAGCAUACCGGUGCACAACUGACGCUCAGGCACGAAAGCGUGGGUAUCGAACAGGAUUAGAUACCCUAGUAGUC